rnacentral:rRNA from 1 species
ACUGAGCGCCAUAUCAGACUGAAUGUAUUUACUCUUAGCAGAUCUUAGAAGCUAAACAGUAACAAACCUAGUUAGUACUUGGAUGGGAGAGCACACUUGCAUGUGCUAAUGCUCUAGUU